GCGCGUCUGCCUCCCUCCUCUCCUCCCUCCUCAGCCGCCCGGACCGGGGUUGAGCGAGGUUCUUCACCUUGCCAGGCGUCUUGGCACAGCCCAUAUCUGAACCCUUUUCUUGAACCCCUGUUGACAUCUUACCUAACCUCUGGUCCUCGGAUUCCUCACCAGUAAACUCCACGCCUGCUUAGUUCAGACCUUUGCACUUGGGGUCCUAUUCACCAACAGCUGGAGAAGCAGCUCAGUCUGCUGGUACCAGGCAUGGGGGAUCAUGACAACUCACUCUUCCAGUGAAAUCAUGCAUUCAUCAAGGGGAAAUUGCAUCGGAAAGUCCUUUGACUGUGUCACUCUACUGUGUCUGGCCUCCAUGGUUUCUGGUGGAAAGUCACCUAUUAUAUUUUUAUUCUCCUUGGUCUGGAACCAAACUCUACCUCCAACAUAUGCCCAUAUUUAUAAUAGUUGCUUUGAAUGAUUUGUCUGCUAAAUAUGACAUCUGGGCCAACUCACAAUGAAGAAAAUGAGGCUUAGGAAGGCAGUGCUCCAAGGUUAAGAAAUGG